GCGGGACACGUGGUAUCCUGUCUGAAUAUGGGGGGACCAUCCUCCAAGGCUAAAUACUCCUGACUGACCGAUAGUGAACCAGUACCGUGAGGGAAAGGCGAAAAGAACCCCGGCGAGGGGAGUGAAAAAGAACCUGAAACCGUGUACGUACAAGCAGUGGGAGCCUCUUAAUGGGGUGACUGCGUACCUUUUGUAUAAUGGGUCAGCGACUUAUAUUCUGUAGCAAGGUUAACCGAAUAGGGGAGCCGAAGGGAAACCGAGUCUUAACUGGGCGUUAAGUUGCAGGGUAUAGACCCGAAACCCGGUGAUCUAGCCAUGGGCAGGUUGAAGGUUGGGUAACACUAACUGGAGGACCGAACCGACUAAUGUUGAAAAAUUAGCGGAUGACUUGUGGCUGGGGGUGAAAGGCCAAUCAAACCGGGAGAUAGCUGGUUCUCCCCGAAAGCUAUUUAGGUAGCGCCUCGUGAAUUCAUCUCCGGGGGUAGAGCACUGUUUCGGCAAGGGGGUCAUCCCGACUUACCAACCCGAUGCAAACUGCGAAUACCGGAGAAUGUUAUCACGGGAGACACACGGCGGGUGCUAACGUCCGUCGUGAAGAGGGAAACAACCCAGACCGCCAGCUAAGGUCCCAAAGUCAUGGUUAAGUGGGAAACGAUGUGGGAAGGCCCAGACAGCCAGGAUGUUGGCUUAGAAGCAGCCAUCAUUUAAAGAAAGCGUAAUAGCUCACUGGUCGAGUCGGCCUGCGCGGAAGAUGUAACGGGGCUAAACCAUGCACCGAAGCUGCGGCAGCGACACUAUGUGUUGUUGGGUAGGGGAGCGUUCUGUAAGCCUGUGAAGGUGGCCUGUGAGGGUUGCUGGAGGUAUCAGAAGUGCGAAUGCUGACAUAAGUAACGAUAAAGCGGGUGAAAAGCCCGCUCGCCGGAAGACCAAGGGUUCCUGUCCAACGUUAAUCGGGGCAGGGUGAGUCGACCCC
rnacentral:rRNA from 1 species